GACGAACGCUGGCGGCGUGCCUAACACAUGCAAGUCGAGCGAGUGAAUCUCCUUCGGGAGUGAAACUAGCGGCGGACGGGUGAGUAACACGUGGGCAACCUGCCUCAUAGAGGGGAAUAGCCUUUCGAAAGGAAGAUUAAUACCGCAUAAGAUUGUAGCUUCGCAUGAAGUAGCAAUUAAAGGAGUAAUCCGCUAUGAGGUGGGCCCGCGGCGCAUUAGCUAGUUGGUGAGGUAACGGCUCACCAAGGCGACGAUGCGUAGCCGACCUGAGAGGGUGAUCGGCCACAUUGGGACUGAGACACGGCCCAGACUCCUACGGGAGGCAGCAGUGGGGAAUAUUGCACAAUGGGGGAAACCCUGAUGCAGCAACGCCGCGUGAGUGAUGACGGCCUUCGGGUUGUAAAACUCUGUCUUCAGGGACGAUAAUGACGGUACCUGAGGAGGAAGCCACGGCUAACUACGUGCCAGCAGCCGCCGUAA
rnacentral:rRNA from 1 species